rnacentral:rRNA from 1 species
AGAGUUUGAUCAUGGCUCAGAAUCAACGCUGGCGACGCGCUUAACACAUGCAAGUCGCACGAGAAAGUGGAAGCAAUCUCGCAAGUAAAGUGACGUACGGAUGAGUAACACGUGGAUGAUCUACCCUUUAGUGGAGAAUAACGCUGGGAAACCGGCGCUAAUACCGCAUAAGCUCGAGAGAGGAAAGCAGCAAUGCGCUGAAGGAGGAGUCCGCGGCCGAUUAGCUAGUUGGCAGGGUAAAAGCCUACCAAGACAUAGAUCGGUAGCCGACCUGAGAGAGCACGCGGCCACACUAGCACUGAAACACGGGCCAGACUCCUACAGGAAGCAGCAGUGAGAAAUCUUGCACAAUGGGGGAAACCCUGAUGCAGCGACGCCGCGUGAGCGAUGAAGCCCUUCGGGGUGUAAAGCUCUUUCGUCAGGGACGAUAAUGACAAUACCUGAAGAAGCAGCUGCGGCUAACUACGUGCCAACAGCCGCGGUAAUACGUAGGCAGCGAGCGCUGUUCGGAGUUACUGAGCGUAAAGGAUGUGUAGGCGGUUUUCUAAGUUUGGUGUGAAAUCUCCCGGCUCAACCGGGAGGGUGCGCCGAAAACUAGGAGACUAGAGUGCGGAAUGGGAGAGUAGAAUUCCUGGUGUAGCGGUGAAAUGCGUAGAUAUCAGGAGGAAUACCGGUAAUGUAGACGGCUCUCUGGACCGCCACUGACGCUGAGACACGAAAGCGUGGGUAGCAAACAAGAUUAGAUACCCUAGUAGUCC